UCCUCACAAAGGCCCCGUUUUCCCUGAUGCCAGAAUGAGAUGGAACUAGCCUCCAAUUUGCUCCAUUUCUGUGUGAGAGCGAUCUUGUCGAGGCCUUUAGAUCCUCGCGGGACUUUUUCUAUCUUUUCACGUGAAGACCGUCAACCAGUAAAGUUGCUAGACCGACCUCUGUGGCACUAAGUUAGUUUAAAGUGUCAUUAGCCAAGGAUUGACUAGGGCAAACCCGGUAGAAAAGCCUACCGAAGCUUAAAACCUGUUACAAAACCGCCCAUUAGUUAAUCUCCGGCAUCUCCUCUGACCUUCGCGGGUGUGUUCUUUGCGACUUUCCGAAGGUGAAUUUGCCCACCUCCCAGCGUGGGUGCGAGUUGGGGCACGACCGAUUGCCAGCUGAACAUCACGAUUGGCCCGUUCGCGGACGAGCAUUGCCGGUGAGGCACGCGGAUUGGCCUCGUGGAGGAGAUUUGGCCCAUUUGAGCACCGCAACGCAACCUAGGACGCUCAAAUUGUAGGCCCGGUCGGCCAUCUUGCGAAUAUUGUUGUCCAAUUGUCGUUUGGAGGCAACAAAACCAUCGAAACACGUGCUCGCCAUCGUCCAAAAGUGUGAACACGCGGUGAUUUCGAGUGCUUGACGACCACUGACUGCGAGCGACCAGCCGAUACGCUCAUUUUCCGGCUUUGC